UGGUGAUUGCCUUUAUUCCAAGCUGGC
rnacentral:piRNA from 1 species